rnacentral:rRNA from 1 species
CGGAAGGUCCGGGCGUUAUCCGGAUUUAGUUGGGUUUAAAGGGAGCGUAGGCCGGAGAUUAAGCGUGUUGUGAAAUGUAGAGGCUCAACCUCUGCACUGCAGCGCGAACUGGUCUUCUUGAGUACGCACAAACGUGGGCGGAAUUCGUGGUGUAGCGGUGAAAUGCUUAGAUAUCACGAAGAACUCCGAUUGCGAAGGCAGCUCACGGGAGCGCAACUGACGCUGAAGCUCGAAAGUGCGGGUAUCGA